UACAGAGGUCUCAAGCGUUGUUCGGAUUCAUUGGGCGUAAAGGGUGCGUAGGCGGCGCGGUAAGUCGGGUGUGAAAUCUCGGAGCUUAACUCCGAAACUGCAUUCGAUACUGCCGUGCUUGAGGACUGGAGAGGAGACUGGAAUUCACGGUGUAGCAGUGAAAUGCGUAGAUAUCGUGAGGAAGACCAGUGGCGAAGGCGGGUCUCUGGGCAGUAACUGACGCUGAGGAGCGAAAGCGUGGGGAGCGAACAGG
rnacentral:rRNA from 1 species